rnacentral:rRNA from 1 species
UUUAUUGGAGAGUUUGAUCCUGGCUCAGGAUGAACGCUGGCGGCGUGCCUAAUACAUGCAAGUCGAGCGAAUGGAUUAAGAGCUUGCUCUUAUGAAGUUAGCGGCGGACGGGUGAGUAACACGUGGGUAACCUGCCCAUAAGACUGGGAUAACUCCGGGAAACCGGGGCUAAUACCGGAUAACAUUUUGAACCGCAUGGUUCGAAAUUGAAAGGCGGCUUCGGCUGUCACUUAUGGAUGGACCCGCGUCGCAUUAGCUAGUUGGUGAGGUAACGGCUCACCAAGGCAACGAUGCGUAGCCGACCUGAGAGGGUGAU